CUCCAAUAAUAAUUAUUAAUUGAACUCUAAAAUGUAACAAUAUUUGUACAAAAUCCAAAAUUCUAAAACACCUAAAAAUCCAAUACAUUUUCCCCAAAAAAAAAAAAAAAAAAAAAACCACUAAGUAGUGAGUGAAACAACCCUAUCGACCUCCUUAAUUUUCUUCUCAACAAUCUUCGACAUGACCUAUGCCUUAAAUAUCGGUCCCAGCCUAUAAAAAAAUGGAGAUAAAGAUAAGCCACAUUUUAGACAUUUGUACCAAUUAUAAUCGAAAAGAAAAGCAAAGAAAAUAACUAUAUCAAAAAACUCCAAUAUACACAAACUAAUUUUUACUAAGCAUUUUUUUCCUCCUUUUUCCUAAUUUUUUUUUUUUUUUUUAAGGCAGGGGUUGAAGAUUGGUUUAGAUGCCCAUGUAUAUUAGAGUUUAUCACACAAUACAUCUUAUUAUGCAUCAGCAACAAGCCAACACAAACCAAAAAGAAGAUAAUUGAUUCUGAACUUCGAUAAUUCUAUUUUCAAAAGAAGCAUGCAUGAUGGGAUAUACAAAAGUUCCAUCAUUGCGUAAAUCCAGAAUUCAGAAUUAGUGAAAGAACAUCUAUUAUUACAUUAUCUCCUGACACCGGAUCAAUCACUGGAUCUUCCAUUCCCACUAGUUUAAGAAACACAUUUCCCCUGGUUGCUCUAAACAGAAUUCUUUCAAAAGCCAUAAAUUUUUCUCUACCAACAAGUCCACUAACAAAUCCCAGCUUCACUUGAUUUAAGGGAUCUGUUGUCAUUUCCUACCAAUAUCAUAAGCAAUACAUUAAAGAAACAUAUAAUGAAGUAUAUUGACUGGAUUGAAAAAGAUAAUCAUGAUCCAUUUAAUAGUACUUGCUCAAGGUCUUAAUCAGAAUUGGUGAACGUUCAAAACUAAAGAAAUCAGAGUAUUGAGAUAAAAGGUUUGGAGUCGACAACAAAGAUUCUUUGUUUCUUAAAACUCUGAAGACUAAGAUCGAUGUCUCUUUUGAUCAUGUCAACGUCAAGAUCAGCUACAAGAUACUACCAUGACAAUUUCUUCAGCUGUUACAAGACAAAUUACAAGGAUGCUUACAUUUGUUAAGGCAAGACCAAAUGGGGAAGCAAUCAACAGUGGUAUAAAAGCUCAUAGUUGAUUCCAAGCAAUGAGGACAUUAGCACAAAAUUACGCCAGAAACAUAGCAGGAUUUAACUCCUAGGACCAGGGUUUAGUUAAGAACAACAUGCAGUACAAGAAGCUUCCUUAGAAGAUUCUUGCACAUUUAAUAAGUACCCAAAUGAAGCUUCUCAGAAAGGAAAAAUCUCAAAUUUGGGGCUCAUAAACUAACACCAUUAUGCAUUUGAAAUAAGAUGGACUGAUUUGGGGGUCAGUAAAGAGAUUGCAUUUUACAAUAACAGAAAUUGAUAAAGAAACUAAUCGAGGUGAAAAUACAUAGAUCCAGUUUACAAUAAUAGAAAGAAGAAUGAGAAGGCAAGAAAGUUGUAUAUUUACUGAAAUGGAGUAAGAAGUUGAUAAAGAAAUUUUACUGCAUCUUAAAUCAUAUUUAGGCAUUAACACAUAAGUCAUAAGUCAUAAUGACAACUUGUUCACUCAAUCAAUUUUUAAAGUUCAUGUCCCUAAAUCGAUUUACAUUUUAUUUUUCAAGUGGGACAACAGAACUUCAGUCGUACUUCAAGAAGAAGAUAUCUUCUUCCUUGUGGAGUUCCUUCGCCAAGCAGUUCCCUUGUCCAGAGAAAACGAUGGCUUGGAACCUCUAUUAAGUCUAAACAAAAGAAUUUUGAUUACUGUGAAGAGGCCCACUUGGGAGUAGAACAAGUCUAAAAGCGACAACUUACACUAUUGACUUGACUAAUUCUUGAAAUACGGGAUCCAAUCUGAAUCUCAUAUUCCAUUCUAGCUUCUGCUAUACUUCAAGGGCCUGAAAAAGUGAAAAUGUUAACUUGGAUUAGUUGGAUAGGGUCUGCCAUUGAUUGUGAGUAAACUGUAAUUCUUUAAACACAACCAAAUAAAUUCUGAAAAAAAGGAUUUGCAUAUGCAUAUGACAUUAGCGUAUUGAUCAUUCUGGAUUUCAUAUGACAACACUUAAAACAGAUGAUAUAGAGUCAAUAACAUUUCAAUGAUUUCUGACUGAAGCCAACAGUCCCAAACAACCUUGACAACUCUUGCAAAUCAAUCAAAAAGGUUUAUCCGAGCACGACCCCCACCAUGACUAUGACAUCUCGAUCUACUUGAAUAAGAUAGCUGUGUUCCUGAAACUUUUGAAGUCCUCACUACAAAAGAGAAAAAUGAAUUUUAGUUCAAGCCUUUAACAUAAAUACAGGGGAAUAAAACAACUAGAAAGAACAAGUAAGAACAAAAAUGAUAGCAACAAUUGGAUAAUGUGUUUCAAAUAUAGUCCAUAGAGAAACAUCUGAGCAUAUCAAGAAUAACCCUUUCUCCUAAGGAAACUAAGCAAUUCAACAAGCAAAAAUAUAAACUGUCAGUACAGUUCAACACUAAUGAGUACAGUGCAUUCCAAGCUCCAACAAAACCAAUUAUGCACAUUUUAACGACUUUCUAAGUGUAGAUUAAAGACCAGUACAGUGCACCAAAAAUCUUUUCAGUAUUCAGAUAUAUAAAAGGAACAAAAAACCAUUACUACCGUGAUUAUAGAACUCCUCCAAAACUAAGCAAUGGACACUUUCCCAUUUUUGCAAACAAAAGGAAAAAUGUAGAAAGCUACUUUCACGGUUAACUAGAAAGCUCUCGUGUGAUAUCAGCUAUAGCCUUCAAGCAGAACCUACAUGCAGGAUUUCAUUUUGACUUAUUCAUAUUAUUUAAAGUAAACAUCCAUAAAUCUCCUUCAAAUAUCAUAUCAAUAUGGGGGUGAAUCAUAUCCCAAAGAACACACAAAGUUGCUAUUACUAAAAUUAAACUUGUUCAGGGAGUAUCAUUGGUUUAAGUCAUCAACGGGACAAAUAAUGAGGUUGGCCAGAUGACAAAGAACAUGGGAGAGCUUAUGGUGUAAAUUUAAGCCAUUAAGUUUCAAUUUCAAUGGGAUUACAAAUAAUUUACUUUGCCCUAAAAUUCUCAUUCUAAUAAAAUUUCUAACCCCAGCGGAGGUGGAGGCGUGGAGCGGACGGACGGGGAGAGCGGUCCACUUUGCCAUAAAAUUCUCAAUCUAAUAAAAUUUCUAACCCCAGCGGAGGUGGAGGCGUGGAGCGAACUGGCGGGGGGAGCGUUCGGCGGUGGACUUGAGGAGGCGGACUGGUGGAGAGACGAGACUUCGAUAGUUCGACGACGAGCAGAGCAGCCCCGGACUGAAGUUCAGAUUUUGGGAAUUUUAGGUUAAUGGACUGUGGAUAUUGGAUAUAUAAAUUGGGUUGGGUAAAUAUAUUAAAAGCUUUUGCAACGUUUCAUAAAUGUUGCCGAAGUCAACUUUUGCAACGAUUCAUAAACGUUGCAAAGGAAAGUUUUUCGCAACGUUUUCUACAAUGUUGCGCAAGAUAGUUUUUUACAGCGUUUUAUAAACGUUGCGAAAGACAAAAAAUUUUGUAAUAUUUUAUAAACGUUGUGAAAGGUAAAAUUUUUCUCAACACUAAAUAAACGUUGCAAAAAGGCGGCAUUGACAACAUUCACUUAAAAAAUGUUGCCAAAGCUCAAUUAUAUUAAGCAAUGGCAACAUUCAAGUAUUUGAAUGAAUGUUGCCAUUGACUCCUUUAGCAAUAUUUAAUUAACGGACGUUGCCUUUUGCAUGUUGCAAAAAGUCAUUUUUGUUGUAGUGGUUAUACUAUGUAAUAGGUGUAGGUGUCUUUUAGAUUUGAACCUCACUUAGUGAUAACAAUUUCCAUUUGAAAGAGCCAUAAUGGACUAACCCUUGAUUAGGUCUCUUUGGUCAAAUUACAAUUGUUCUACUCACAGUAUCGAUUUAGGCUCAGUUCAUAGCGGGUAGAGCUAUUAAUGGUCAUGCGCUCUAAUCUUGAUUCUAGUAAGAGUCUCUAGAGAAUAACCCAAUCUCAUAGUCACGCCCUCAUGGCAACUCUUACAUAAGUGAGUCCUUCAAGAGUGCGUGUGACUCACACCUCAUGAGAAUUCUUGUCUCGGUACUCAUUUAGGAUUAAACCCUUCCUAACAUCACAUUAUUAUUAGCACUAUAUAACCAUAGGGAUAAGCACAAAUAAGAUAGUGCUAUACAAGUCAUGCAGUACGGUUGUUUCUAAUCACAUGUUUGAACAUGUGCAUCCAUUCAACUCUUGUAUUUGACCUCCGUGUCUCUAGUUUUAUUUCUGUACUUUCAAAAGUCAGUUUUACACAAUGUACGGUGCAUUUAUUUGAAAUUUUUAAAUACCCAAACAUUUCAAAGAUUUGAUUUUUUUUAAUUUAAUUUAAACACAAUAAUUCAUUUCCAAAUGAGGUACCAAUAUUCAUAUGUCACAAAUAUAACAUUGAUUUUUAUAGUCGAUUGAGACUAUACAAAUGUCAAUCAUAAAUGCAUACCCUACUCAUACGUACACAUCACAUAUAUGCAGGGCCGGUCCUGAGCCGAGGCGGAUGAGGCCUGCGCCCCAGGCCAAAAGCUGAAGGGGGCCUCGUUUCCACGGCCUCAGUUUUUUUUUCUGUUAAAUGAAGAAAGUAAAUUGAAUGAAGGAAUCAUUUUCCUCUCCAACUCGCCUAUGGCUGCUGGGAAGUUGAAGAAUAUUCUGGAAAUCAUUCCUUGCUGGAAACAUCGAGGUUGGAUGGAGCCGCCAUUAUUGCAGAAGCUUGAACGCAGACUUGAAUUCAAAAGGAAGGGAAGAUGAUGAGUAUUAUAAUUGGGCCAACUUUUAAUUUCCUCCAUUUUCUAAAGUCCAAAUGUUAACUUGUAAGCCUUUUGUGUUGGACUUCUUAUUUAUUUUAAAUGAGGCCCAUAUCUUGUAUUGUGAAAUGGUUAAAGCAAAGUUGAAACCCUAUGGCUCUUUCUCAGUUUCUCUCCCGCCACUGAAAUUGAACGCCGACCUUGUGAUUUUCGUUGGCAAAAAUAAUGAGAAAUUAGCGAUAGGUCUGUUCAAAUCAGGUAUAGUUAUAUCAUCCUCGACAAUUGAAAGGAGCUUUGCUAGUGCACGAAAUGAGAAAUUCUACCUCAAAACACGGGAAAAAGAAGUAACAACAUAUAAAAAUUGCACAACAGGUAUGUAUCGAUUUUUUAAUUUUUUUGUACAUAUUUAUUGAUUAUUUUUGUGGCUUGCUACAACUAUAAUUUUAGAGCUAUUUCAUUUGGGAUUUUUGUUUAUUGGGAUUAACAUUUUAAUAUGUGAAUAGCUAGCUACCUUAGAAAUUUAAAACCAUGAUUUCGUUAAUUGCCUAUGGCUUUUAGUUAGGGAAUGUUUCUUGGUAUCCGAUCAAUGGGUGAUAUUUGAUUUCGGGGCUUCUUUAUCGUGAAUUAGAUGGCUCAAGAUUGUUGAUGUAAAUUGUUUCAUGGUCUACUGGUUAUUGCAAAUUUGGGAGUUGUUGUAAUGUGUGGUUUGCUUGCAUUAAGUGUAAGUAAUUUGUAUGGAUAGCUCAAGUUUUUUGGUUCCAUUGCAGCAUUGUUAUGUAUGUUUACCAUUGAAAUGUAAUUAGAAAUAUAAAUUUCAUGCCAAUUGACUUCCAAAAGAAGCGGUUUAAGUGCACUUUCUUUGGAUAUCUAAAGUUCUAGAGAGUAAUAAGGGAUACUUGACAAAUUAUUCAUUUUUCUGAAUUUUUUUUUAAACCCUCCAUAGGAUAUUUAGUGAUGCUCGAAUAACUACGAGAAAUUAGCGAUAGGUCUAUUCAAAUCUGAUCAAAAAUAAAAGUGGAUGUUUCUUGGUCGAUUGGUUCGGUAAAGCCAUUUUAGAAAGGUAUAGUACUAAAUUUCUAUCAAUUAUAUGUCUAUCUGGGUUUCUUGUUUUUAUUCUGUUAAUUAAUUAUGUAUGUUUGUAGGAGUGGUUUUCUCUUUUCUUGAAUUUUUUUUUAUUGUAUUCAGGUUUAUGAGAUUUGUCAAUACGUCAGAAAUUCUCAAGAGAUCGAACAAAUUGAUAGUUUAAUUCAUUCAGAUGAACAAUCAAAUAUGGCAACAAAGGCUAGAAUACCAUUUUCUUUUCAAAUCUUACAACUGGGAAAAUGUUUCAAGAAGUGAAGUUCCAAUAUUUCUAAUUCUCUGUGGAUGGCUCUACCGGAGGAAAGAACGAUAGAAAUUGAGGUAUGCUCAAUUCCAUUUUCAUGAUUUGUUUAUAAUUAUUAGUUAACCAUGUUUUGCUAUUUAUUUGUAUAUGUGUUUUGUUUGUGAGCUUGUCUGCUGGAGGCUUAGGACGAUUUCAUUCUCAAUGGUUUUUUUUUUUUUUUUUUUUUGAGCUAUACAUUAAGGUUUAUGUUUUGCUAAAAAUAUAUCAUGUAAAACUAAUGGGGGGCCUAACUUAUAGAGUUCGCCUCAGGCCCAAGAAACCACAGGACCGGCUCUGCAUAUAUGAGUGACUAUAUUAAAUUGUUAAUUAUCAUCAUUAGGGAUAUUAAGUUGAUGUUAAUGUUCAUUUAGCACACAUAUAUCCAAAGUUUUUAAUACCACAUAACUUUUGGAACUUCUUUCCCACAAUAAAAUUAUCUUUAGGAUGAUAACAUGGUUAAGUGCAAACAUACUUCAAUUUAGAUAAUUCCAGUUAUACAUGUUACUUGGAGUAGCAUUAUACAUGGCAACAUGUCUUUGUAUCCCAAGUCAAAUCACUGCCUCUUCUUUAACCUUCGAGAAAACAAUUNAGGCGGACUGGUGGAGAGACGAGACUUCGAUAGUUCGACGACGAGCAGAGCAGCCCCGGACUGAAGUUUAGAUUUUGGGAAUUUUAGGUUUAUGGAUUGUGGAUAUUGAAUAUAUAAGUUGGGUUGGGUAAAUAUUUUAACAGCUUUUACAACGUUUCAUAAAUGUUGCAAGUCAAAACUUUUGCAACGUUUCAUAAACGUUGCAAAAAAAAGGUUUUUGAAACGUUGCAAAAGAAAGUUUUUCAACGUUUUCUACAAUGUUGCGAAAGAUAGUUUUUUGCAGCGUUUUAUAAACGUUGUGAAAGACAACUUUUUGAAAUAUUUCAUAAACGUUGCGAAAGGUAAAAUUUUUCGCAACACUAAAUAAACGUUGCAAAAAGGUGGCAUUGACAACAUUCACUUAAAAAAUGUUGCCAAAGCUCAAUUAUAUUAAGCAAUGGCAACAUUCACGUAUUUGAAUGAAUGUUGCCAUUGACCCCUUUAGCAACAUUUAAUUCACGGAUGUUGCCUUUUACAUGUUGCAAGAGGUCAUUUUUGCUGUAGUGGUUAUACUAUGUAAUAGGUGUAGGUGUGUUUUGGACUUGAAUCUCACUUAGUGAUAACAAUUUCCAUUUGAAAGAGCCAUAAUGGACUAACCCUUGAAUUAGGUCUCUUUGGUCAAAUUACAAUUGUUCUACUCACAGUAUCGAUUUAGGCUCAGUUCAUAACGAUUAGAGCUAUUAAUGGUCAUGCACUCUAAUUUUAAUUCUAGUAAGAGUCUCUAGAGAAUAACCCAAUUCCAUAGUCACGCUCUCAUGGCAACUCUUACAUAAGUGAGUCCUUCAAGAGUGCGUGUGACUCACAUCUCAUGAGAAUUCUCGCCUCGGUACUCAUUUAGGGUUAAACCCUUCCUAACAUCACAUUAUUAUUAGCACUAUAUCACCAUAGGGAUAAGCACAAAUAAGAUAGUGCUAUACAAGUCAUGUAGUAUGGGUUGUUUCUACCACAUUGAACCUUCUUCAUGGGAUCUCCAAUCACAAAACUUGGGUUACUUUCGGAGGUGACUCCCUUAUGGACUUAAACUCAUCCACUUCAAUGAUUUAUAUAUAUAUAUAUCCAUGGAUUUCAAUAUAUUCGUGUCCCUCUUGGACAAUAAUUUGGUACCAUAAUAUUUGCAAACUCUUAUUUUCUGCUUGCACAUCAGUACAUCUGCAAAAUCUUCUAAAACAUUUCAAAAUAUUAAAGUCACGUUAAGUAUAAUAAGAUAAAUAGUUAAACUUAAAAUUGACUUCUAAUCACAUGUUUGAACAUGUGCAUCCAUUCAACUCUUGUAUUUGACCUCCGUGUCUCUAGUCUUAUUUAUGCACUUUCAAAAGUCAGUUUUACACAAUGUACGGUGCAUCUAUUUGAAAUUUUUAAAUACCCACACAUUUCAAAGAUAUGAUUUCUUUAAAUUUAAUUUAAACACAAUAAUUCAUUUCCAAAUGAGGUACCAAUAUUCAUAUGUCACAAAUAUAACAUUGAUUUUUAUAGUCGAUUGAGACUAUACAAAUAUCAAUCAUAAAUGCAUACCCUACUCAUACGUACACAUCACAUAUAUGAGUGACUAUAUUAAAUUGUUAAUUAUCAUCAUUAGGGAUAUUAAGUUGAUGUUAAUGUUCAUUUAGCACACAUAUAUCCAAAGUUUUUAAUACCACAUAACUUUUGGAACUUCUUUCCCACAAUAAAAUUAUCUUUAGGAUGAUAACAUGGUUAAGUGCAAACAUACUUCAAUUUAGAUAAUUCCAGUUAUACAUGUUACUUGGAGUAGCAUUAUACAUGGCAACAUGUCUUUGUAUCCCAAGUCAAAUCACUGCCUCUUCUUUAACCUUCGAGAAAACAAUUAUCUGUGAUGCUUGUAUAAUUUUACUAGAUAGAGAAGGAAAGACAGGAAUCAAUAGUUUCUUAGCCCCUAAUUUUAACUGGCAUAAUACACUAUACUGUAACAGUUAUCCUCUUGAGUCGCCAUAAUGAUGAAAACAAUGUUUUUAGAACCCAAAAUUACGUUUGUCAUUAUCUAAUUAAUUUCCCUAUUGAUUAUGUUAUGCUUAAACCAAGUCAACUGCCAUACAUAAUCCAAAAUAAUUACCAGCUCUACUUUUAAACAUCUGACUCACAUUCUAAUUAUAAUGAGAUUCCUCCAUAGCCUUAUGUGAUGGUAAUGGCAGUACACUUCCUUUUAGACAAGAUAAACAAGUAGCAACUAAGAUUUGAUUUAAUUGGAAUAGAAUUCGUUGUACUACUACAAUUUCACUGAAAAUUUACUCAUUUAAAGUAAUCACUAGCAAGUUCUUAUUGUAUUAGCAAAAGCAUUGAAAAAUUCUUGGUAGGAUGGCACAAUAUUUUAAGUCACAUAAUUGAACUAAUAUCAAGAUGACAG
rnacentral:lncRNA from 1 species